rnacentral:lncRNA from 1 species
GCCGCGGGUUCUUUUGGUAUCUUGCCUCAGUCCGUCCUGCUGUAGUCUGAAGUCCCCUUGGUCCAUCCUGGAGGGGAGGCGCCUCAGGCCAGGUGCCCUGACCCAGCCCUGUGCCCACAGCCCCCUCCCCUGCUUCGCUUCCCCGGCUACCGGGGCUGCAUCGAGAUGGACACGCUGAAUGAGGAGGUGGUCAGCCUCUACAACUUCGAGAGGACCUUCCAGCUGGACACGGCUGUGGACAGGCCUUGUGCCCGCUCCAAGUCGACCGGGGACCCGUGGCUCACGGACGGCUCCUACCUGGACGGCACCGGCUUCGCCCGCAUCA